rnacentral:rRNA from 1 species
CGCGUAGGUGGUAGUGUAAGUCUGGGGUGGAAUCCCAGGGCUCAACCCUGGAACUGCCUUGGAAACUGCAUUACUUGAGUCAGUGAGGGGAGGGUAGAAUUCCUGGUGUAGCGGUGAAAUGCGUAGAUAUCAGGAGGAAGGCCUGUGGCGAAGGCGGCCCUCUGGCGCUGGACUGACACUGAGGCGCGAAAGCGUGGGGAGCAAACAGGACUAGAUACCCUGGUAGUCCACGCCCUAAACGGUGGGCACUAGGUGUAGGGCUCGUAAGGGUUCUGUGCCGAAGGGAAACCAUUAAGUGCCCCGCCUGGGGAGUACGGCCGCAAGGUUGAA